AAGUCGUAACAAGGUUUCCGUAGGUGAACCUGCGGAGGGAUCAUUACCACGUUUCCAACGUACUAACAAACCGCGAACUUGUAACAAUUACCUGUAGUUAACAUUGGAUUGUUAGCCCCAUGAUGGGUUACUGGGAUACCAGUGACGUGGGCUUUCCGUCUACCAGAUGAAAUAAACUGGAGGUGUUUCUAUGGGCUUUUUAAAUGUCCCAUCAUAACCCAUAUCUUUACGAUAUCACCUAUACCAAUUGACUAACCCCUUGACUUGCUACCGGCAACGGUACAAGUUGAAUCGUAGUUUAUCAUAACUAAGUACAACUCUUAGCAACGGAUAUCUCGGUUCUC
rnacentral:misc_RNA from 1 species